rnacentral:rRNA from 1 species
AUAAGCGGAGGAAAAGAAACCAACAGGGAUUGCCCUAGUAACGGCGAGUGAAGCGGCAACAGCUCAAAUUUGAAAUCUGGCUUCGGCCCGAGUUGUAAUUUGCAGAGGAAGCUUUAGGCGCGGCACCAUCUGAGUCCCCUGGAACGGGGCGCCACAGAGGGUGAGAGCCCCGUAUAGUUGGACGCCUAGCCUGUGUAAAGCUCCUUCGACGAGUCGAGUAGUUUGGGAAUGCUGCUCAAAAUGGGAGGUAAAUUUCUUCUAAAGCUAAAUACCGGCCAGAGACCGAUAGCGCACAAGUAGAGUGAUCGAAAGAUGAAAAGCACUUUGAAAAGAGGGUUAAAUAGCACGUGAAAUUGUUGAAAGGGAAGCGCUUGUGACCAGACUUGCGCCUGGCUGAUCAUCCGGUGUUCUCACCGGUGCACUCUGCCAGGCUCAGGCCAGCAUCGGUUCUCGCGGGGGGAUAAAGGCCCUGGGAACGUAGCUCCUCCGGGAGUGUUAUAGCCCAGGGCGCAAUGCCCUCGCGGGGACCGAGGUUCGCGCAUCUGCAAGGAUGCUGGCGUAAUGGUCAUCAGCGACCCGUCUUGAAACACGGACCAAGGAGUCAAGGUUUUGCGCGAGUGUUUGGGUGUAAAACCCGCACGCGUAAUGAAAGUGAACGUAGGUGAGAGCUUCGGCGCAUCAUCGACCGAUCCUGAUGUUUUCGGAUGGAUUUGAGUAGGAGCGUUAAGCCUUGGACCCGAAAGAUGGUGAACUAUGCUUGGAUAGGGUGAAGCCAGAGGAAACUCUGGUGGAGGCUCGCAGCGGUUCUGACGUGCAAAUCGAUCGUCAAAUCUGAGCAUGGGGGCGAAAGACUAAUCGAACCAUCUAGUAGCUGGUACC